GUCACGGAGAUCCGCCCACCCGGGGUGGUGGUCACGGACGGGAGCGAAUGAGCGUGGGUGACUAACACAGCUCUGGGCAACAGGCACAGGAGAGAUAAAGAACAAAGGAGAAAAUAAACGUGGCUGCGCUAAUGAGAAGACAUUUGCAAAAAUCACAAACAUACAAAUGAGCAUAAACUCCGGAAUCCAGAACUAACCACACAAUACACACACACACACCAAGGGUACCCACACUGUAACAACAAUUAAACAGAAACCACAGAAUGAUAGAGAGUAAAAUGGCCAUGUACAUGUUAACACCACCGGUGUCAGAUAUUCAGAAUAUAACGAUCUCCAGCCUUCACCCACCAGGCUGGUCCCGGCAAAACACUGGUACCAACGGAAAUACUACAAUAAUCAUACAAAAAUCUCAGCCCCACCGGCUGUAAUGCAUUCCCUGCCCGCUAGGCAGUCAAGUUAACAUAAAAACCCAGCCCCACCGGCUGUAAUGCGUUCCCUGCCCGCUAGGCAGUCAAGCAAACAUAAACCGCGUUCCCUGCCCGCUAGGCAGUCAAGCAAACAUAUAAAAUGCGUUCCCUGCCCGCUAGGCAGUCAAGCAAACAUAUAAA